GAUGAACGCUAGCGAUAGGCUUAACACAUGCAAGUCGAGGGGCAGCAUUAUUUUAGCUUGCUAAGAUAGAUGGCGACCGGCGCACGGGUGCGUAACGCGUAUGCAACCUGCCUGUAAUUAGGGAAUAACCCGGUGAAAGUCGGACUAAUACCCUAUAUUCUUCUUUCUCCGCAUGGGGGAGGAUGGAAAGAUUUAUUGAUUACAGAUGGGCAUGCGUCCCAUUAGCUCGUUGGUAAGGUAACGGCUUACCAAGGCAACGAUGGGUAGGGGGACUGGGAGGUUGACCCCCCACACUGGUACUGAGACACGGACCAGACUCCUACGGGAGGCAGCAGUGAGGAAUAUUGGUCAAUGGGCGAGAGCCUGAACCAGCCAAGUCGCGUGAAGGACGACGGUUCUAUGGAUUGUAAACUUCUUUUGUAGAGGAAUAAUGGCAG
rnacentral:rRNA from 1 species